UACGUAGGGUGCAAGCGUUAAUCGGAAUUACUGGGCGUAAAGGGCUCGUAGGCGGCCAACUAAGUCAGACGUGAAAAUCCCCUCGGCUUAACCGGGGAACUGCGUCUGAUACUGGAUGGCUUGAGUUUGGGAGAGGGAUGCGGAAUUCCAGGUGUAGCGGUGAAAUGCGUAGAUAUCUGGAGGAACACCGGUGGCGAAGGCGGCAUCCUGGACCAACACUGACACUGAGGAGCGAAAGCCAGGGGAGCAAACGGG
rnacentral:rRNA from 1 species